CAAAUACCACUACAAUUACUAAUUACUAGAAAGAGGUUGGUGGAUUGCAGCCAAAUGAUGAAACAAUUGCGAUAUCUUUCAUUCGGAGAUAGUAAAAUCAUCAGUAAGAUUUUAAAUUUUAAAAUUCUGGCAUAGAAUACUUCAACUCUACGGUGCCCUAUGAACUGGUGUGCCAGUUGCCCAAACUGCAACAUUUGCAGGUGUCUCAUAACGGUUCUUUACGCGACUCGUUCAUCGAAGGGUUGAUGAACAAACGGGGUUCUCCUCUGGAAAGUCUUCCCUUAGUGGAAGAUUGCGACUUGUCGCAGGCACAAGUUCAGCAUCUUUGCAAUAUUUCUACGCUCUAGGAUCUCCGUGUAUCAUGCGACACUACUGCAGGUGAAGAACAUUGUAUAGCUCUGAUAGACAUGUCAAUUACGAAUAACACACUUCUCGACGUCCUGAAGGGCCUUCCGCGCCUAAAAGUUCUCAGUUCACGAAAUUGAACUUUUUGCAUAAUGUUCGUACCUGGCUGAGCGAACAGUACUACAGCGCGGAAAGAUCCAACUACAUCAGAUCCUAUUACCAUUAUUAUUAUUUUGUAUGCUUAUCAUUUGGUUAAACUCAUAGAUGGUUAUUCAUUUGAUCCCAUAUUAAUAAAAAAAGAACUUGGUGAACGAGAUGAGAA
rnacentral:sRNA from 1 species